CACUACACCAUCUUGGCUGUUGGUUUUUCACCUGUACUUUUUUGUGUAGAGGUGACAAACCAACAGCCAAGAUGGUGUAGUG
rnacentral:miRNA from 1 species